rnacentral:lncRNA from 1 species
CUGCACUUCCAUAUAGGAGCAAGACACCUAUGACUCUCAGUUUCUGCAUCCUCAUAUCUCCUACACACCAUCUUUUUCUGAACAAACAUUUAUUAAGGGUUGGCUGUAAAAUAAAUUCAAUUAUCUUUGGUAAGUAGAAAAUUAAGAGCAAUUCAUCUGAUAAAUGUUUAUAAGCAUAUAUUUUUGAGCCACUCUAACCCUUGUCCAAUAUACCACGGACAUUCAAUUUGACAGCUGUUGCUGAAGAAUUUGAAUUCCAAAUGAGUGGCAUGACCCUGUAGCCCUACAUUUCUAGAAUGCUAAGAUUCAAAUGAGUAUCAAGUAUUUGAGUAAAGAGAUCCAAGUCUGGUACCUCUGUAGUAAUGGUGUGUGCAGCUUUAGGCAUGGCAUGGAUUUGUAGUGGGAGGAAAGUGGUGGUAGUUAAGAAUGUGGGCUCUUAUAUUAGACUGCUCAGGUUCAAUCUCAUCUCUACCACUCACUAUCUGUGUGACUUAGGACAAGUUACCUAAACUCUCUGUGUCUCCAUUUCCUCAUCAAUAAAGUGGGUCAAUAAUAGUACCCAUACCUCAUACAGUUGCUAAGAUCUAAUGGA